rnacentral:rRNA from 1 species
GUAACAAGGUCUCCGUUGGUGAACCAGCGGAGGGAUCAUUAUCGAGUUAUUCAACUCCCAAACCCUAUGUGAACUUACCACUUGUUGCUUCGGCGCGCGCUUCGGCGCCGCCGAGGACACUUAAACUCUUUGUUUUUAUAAGCAUUUCUGAGUGGCCGAAAGGCAAAAAUACAAAUGAAUCAAAACUUUCAGCAACGGAUCUCUUGGUUCUGGCAUCGAUGAAGAACGCAGCGAAAUGCGAUAAGUAAUGUGAAUUGCAGAAUUCAGUGAAUCAUCGAAUCUUUGAACGCACAUUGCGCCCGCCAGCAUUCUGGCGGGCAUGCCUGUUCGAGCGUCAUUUCAACCCUCGAGCCCGACUCUUUUGAGGACGGCUCGGCGUUGGGGGACGGCAGACUCCCCCCGGCAUCUCGCCGGGGACGCCGCCCCCGAAAUCUAGUGGCGGCCCUCCGAGGCGACCUCUGCGUAGUAACUUGUUCUCGCACCGGAAAGCUCAGAGCGGCCACGCCGUAAAACCCCAACUUUUUUCAGGUUGACCUCGAAUCAGGUAGGACUACCCGCUGAACUUAAGCAUAUCAAUA